AGGAAACAGAGAACUCUACGAAUGUGGAGGCAUCACUCUGUCCUGGGCCCAGCAAACUCAGGAGGCAGCUGCAUCUACAUUUCAAUUAAGCAUUGAGAGAUGCAAGGAAACAGGGGUAUAUGUCAGAGCCAUUCUUCAAGAUCAGAUGACCUGUUAAGUCCAAGGACUCAUCUGAACCAUCAGUCACUCUCUGGCCCAGAGAGGUGGUGUUGUUUGCCAAGGACACACAGCAGGUGGCCAAGAUGGAGCCAAGCCAUUUUCCCCACUGCAGGGACCCCUGAUCUCCAUAAGUGUCCCUGACAUUUCAAGGGCACAAAUUCUCUGGACACACGGAGGGAAUAAUGCUGACAUUUUAUAGAAGCUGACCCACUGGAUAUCCUUCUCACCCAACUCCAUUAGGCUAGGGAGAGUAAGAGGCAUGGUGACAAGGUGGCAAAGAUGUCACCAUGCCAUCCAAUCACGAGGUCUCCAGG
rnacentral:antisense_RNA from 1 species